CAGUAGUUCCUGGCCUGCUCCCACACGUAGUCCCCUUGAUUACUGUAGUGGUACGUCCAGGCACCCACCUCCACCUGUGUCACCACACCUUUCAGAGAGGAUGAGGUACAGGAUUGGGAAAGUGAGGUCUGGGAUGGAGUCCUUUGGGUGGGCUAGGGAUGGAAAUAGCGCUAAGAGAUGCCAGUGACCAGCUGUGGGAAGGGUAAGUGUGUGUGAGAAUGGGGCUCUAAGAGUGCACAGUGAUGUGGGUGGAUUAGGUGUGGCAGAAGGAGCUACCGUGAGACAGUGGGGGAAAUGGGAUGAAGUCUGAGACAAAGGUCAGCACGGGGUGGGGCAGUUAGAGCACAGGUGGCAAAAGAGCCCCAAACAGUGAUGUCAACCUCUCCUCCAGCACAACAGGUGAAAGCCCAGCCCCACAGCCCCGUUCUCCUGCACAGAAAUGUUUCCCAAUGGGGACAAACCAACAUCCAGAUUGUUUCUUAAACAUUGUUCCUACCUGGAGUGCAGAAGUGUACCACUUCUGUAUUCUUGCUUUACACUUCUACGUGAGAGUCAGCUCGGAGCAAGGGACAGCAACGAGCCUGCCCUCACCCCAAAAGCAUUUGGAUCCUGAGCCACCCAUCUAAGACAGAGAUGGUCUGAAGACUCUUGUAAACUCAGUACUGCAAAACAUCUUGCAAAAGUCAGGUUCACAUCCUGGCCACGCCUACCAGGCAGGGCAAAGCCAGAGAUUAACUGGAACCCACACCCAGAAGUAAAGGUCACUUUGCUGAAACCCUACUCUUAUUUACAGCAUUUCAAACCACAACUUGAUGCAAUCAAAGGAUUUUAGCCACCAAAAAAGAAAAGGAUUCCUCCCUCCUCUCCAGAAGCAGACAACUCCACAACUGCAGAAGUUUCCCAGCCCUGGAGGCUCCUCAGCAGCUGUGUCAUGCUGGGCUUACUUGAGUGGCUUACCCCAUGUGAUGGCAGCGAUGCCCAAAUAGCAGAUGCCACGAGAUCCCAGAGCCCAUGUCCUCCCAGCAGACCACAGUGCCUCAGCAGUACCCUGCAUGCCAGAGAGGGAGCUCUGAGCAGCCUCCAUGAGAAAGGUUGAAGAACAUGCCAGAGGAACUUCCCCCGAGUUGGUAAUAUCCUUUAUGAACUUCCACCAAUGCUUCAGAACCAUCUCAUUGUGCCCACGUUCCCUUGGAUCAUUCUCAAACCAUCAUAAAUCUUUCCUUGUCCCAUUCUGCUUCUAAGGAAAUCUGCCUUGGCAGGAAUUACUCUGCUAACUUCCAGCUAAAGCCAAAGUGAGAGCCACUGCAGGUCACAUGGAUUUUCCAUAUCCAGAGAAACUGAUGCUGCUCCAAGGGGACUCAUGCUAGACAAAAGGAAGAGCCCAUCCCACAAAAGCCAUAACCCACUACAAUGACUUUAUACUUGGCCAAUGUAAA